GCAAAUGUCACCAGAAAAUACUCUCAAAGGAGGAGCAUCCCAGCGACAAGAAAGUGUACAAAAUUUAUCUACGGAUCAAAUAACAAAAAACAUAAGACUUGUGAAUGGUCAUUUUUAUCCAACAUCACAGAAAUCUCUGGUCACAAUGCCAUCAAUGACACAUAGGGUAACCUUUCAGAAUGAGGAAUUGACAAAACAGUAUCCAAAGACUUUUACAUCUUCCCAAUCUUGGACACAGUGUUCCCCAAGACCAAAUGGUGAAGUGCCAAAGUCAAGUGAAACACAAUCAUCUCAUAAUAGCCAUGAAAUGAGUACAGAGUUAUAAUUGUGUAAAACUUUUAGUGCCAAGGUAGUAAGUUAUAAAUCAGAUAGUUAUCAACAAUUUGAAACCAAAGCUUCAAGUACUGAAAUCUUUGUGAUUUCAUUCACCCUGUUGUAUAAAUAAGUGGAAUUUGUAAUAAUUACCAGCAGUUGUAAAACAGAUAGAUUUUUAAAUUCAUAAAAUGUAAUGUAAUAAACUGAAGUGAAAAACUAAUUAAAAGCAAUAAUGCUGAGCAUUUAACCAAACAUGUGCAAUUUAAUAUAACAGUGUUUCGAAAAUGACAUAAUAUUUAUUAUUUCUUCUAAUUCUCAUGCAAAAAAUAAGGUUAUGAAAUUAAAUGUAUAUAACUGUAUAUUUGUGUUUUAUGUAUUAUAAUGUAAUAUGUUAAUCUUAAAUAUAAUUUAAUUCAUACAAUUUAUUAUGCUCAAUUGAAUACAUAUUUUAUUUAUAAAAAAAUUCUAACAUAUUUAAUUGUAAAGGAUUAUGUAUUUUUAUUUCUAAUAUUGAAGAAAAACUUUUUUUUUUUGUAAAGAAAAACGGUAUUACUUCCGAUACUUAACAUUAUCAAAAUGUACACAUGGUUUUAAUAUAAAACUGCUGGUGUUGGAUAUUUAUAAGUUAUCAACUAGCUAGCAAUAAAUUUAUGUACUUUUCAAUAUAAUAAAUUUCAGUCAACACAGAACACCACAGAAAUGUUUUUUAUAAUAAAAAUAUAAACUGUAUAUAUUGAUGUUACUGUGUGGAAAUUAGGAAUUUUUCCUUUUUCGAAGAGUUUUAAAGAAACUAAACCUAAGUCGUGUUUAAUUAUUUUUCUAUCAUUUUAAAGCAGUAAUUUUUUAAAUUUUACAAAAAUUUUUAUGUAUUUUGCUAAAUUUUGUAAUAUUUUCUAAAAGUGUCAUUUACAAUCUGUGUACCUAAUUUGUUAAAAUUCUCAAUGGUAUUGAAAUAAAAGACUUCCAAAACCGUA